UUCUGUGUCUGCUGCCUUGCAAUUCCAUGGACUUUGUGACUGCUUUGGCAAAUAAUGGAUGGCUGUGACUUCUAAAGUUAGAUAGGGAGGAUGCCUCCAUGCUCUCUGGAGUAUGUGCCCUUGGCCCUUGCCCAUCAUGUGAUGAGGAAGCCCAAGUUGUCCAUCGAAUCCACAUGAAAAGGACAUGAAAUCACUGGCUUACUCCCAUGGCUGCUCUUUCAUCUGCGAGCAGAAACAACUUGCCAGCCAUAGUGCCCAUGAGAGACGUGCAGCCAGAAGAGCAGUGGGCAGUGACAGCUGGACCUGGGCUCAGCCCUAACACAUGGACAUCUAACACAUGGACAUCUGAGCUGCCUCAAAGACACAGCUUUGAGAUCGUAAUGGGUUGUUGAGACCAUCUGGAUGGUGUACCUGACUCAGCCCAUUACAUAAAUUUUUCAAAUCUGGCAGGCAAGUGCAGAGAAUAUUUGUCUUUGA